UACAGAGGGUGCAAGCGUUGUCCGGAUUUAUUGGGUGUAAAGGGUGCGUAGGCGGGACGAUAAGUCCGAGGUGAAAUCCCGGAGCUCAACUUCGGAAUUGCCUUUGAUACUGUCAAUCUCGAGUCCGGGAGAGGUGAGUGGAAUUCCUAGUGUAGAGGUGAAAUUCGUAGAUAUUAGGAAGAACACCAGUGGCGAAGGCGGCUCACUGGCCCGGUACUGACGCUCAUGUGCGAAAGCGUGGGGAGCAAACAGG
rnacentral:rRNA from 1 species